rnacentral:rRNA from 1 species
GUAGGUGGCAAGCGUUGUCCGGAAUUAUUGGGCGUAAAGCGCGCGCAGGCGGUCCUUUAAGUCUGAUGUGAAAGCCCACGGCUCAACCGUGGAGGGUCAUUGGAAACUGGGGGACUUGAGUACAGAAGAGGAAAGCGGAAUUCCAAGUGUAGCGGUGAAAUGCGUAGAGAUUUGGAGGAACACCAGUGGCGAAGGCGGCUUUCUGGUCUGUAACUGACGCUGAGGCGCGAAAGCGUGGGGAGCAAACAGGAUUAGAUACCCUGGUAGUCCACGCCGUAAACGAUGAGUGCUAAGUGUUAGGGGGUUUCCCGCCCCCCUUAGUGCUGCAGCUAACGCAUUAAGCACUCCGCCUGGGGAGUACGGCCACAAGGCUG